AAAUAGAACUUUGCAGAGAGAGUUAACAGGGCGUGAACCGUUAAUUGGCAAACGAAUUGGAGCCACGAAGUCGUUUCGUUAGGGGCGCCGGGUUCAGCUUAGGUCCGCCAGGGCCUGGGUGUAGUCUCGGCGCCUCAAUGUAAGCGUACACUGCAACCAGUUAGACGAUUGGCGAUGGGCACAGUUGGCUCGGUUCGGGGCAACUCGAGCCGGGUUCAACGCAGCAUCUGUUUGCUCGGGUUAGUAGUAGCGCUGCGGGCCUCGUGCCCGUCGGUGUUGCUGGGCUCGCGGCAAGUGAACUAUCGCCAAAUACUGACUGGCACAAUGAAAAUCGCCCCGCAAGGGGCGUAGCACAAAAUGCGGCUAGCUGCAUGCGUGGCUACACCCGCGACCGUGCGCUUUAAGUUCGGCAGUCUUGAAUUUGGACCUGCUCGCUACCAAUGGGGCAACCCUUGGUGCUUGUACGGCUUCCAUCUAAUCGGCUGUCGACUUGAGCGUACGUCGUUCGUUGGUGCUACGAUCGGCCGCGCAUGUAUGCGAGUUUGCAAUUUUGAAUUGGCAGUGAGUAGGUCGGCUUUCCAAACGACCCGUCUUGAAACACGGACCAAGGAGUCUAAUUAGGCAUCAGUCGAUCGGUCUUGCAUAGGCCAGACUGGUUAGUUUCGACUAGCCAACUGAAGGCGCAGAGAAAUCAAACCAUGUGAUCGCCGGGGCAAUACCAGCCCAGGCGCGCAACAUGUGCCUGUUCGUAUAGCAAUGUUAGCAAUAACUUGCUGGGCGGAGCAAAGAGAUGCCUGAUUGGUACCCGAAAGAUGGUGAACUAUGCCUGGGCAGGUUGAAGCCAGAGGAAACUCUGGUGGAGGACCGUAGCGAUUCUGACGUGCAAAUCGAUCGUCAGACCUGGGUAUAGGGGCGAAAGACUAAUCGAACCAUC
rnacentral:rRNA from 1 species